GACGAACGCUGGCGGCGUGCCUAAUACAUGCAAGUCGAGCGGGCCUCCGGAGGUGCUUGCACCUCCGGAAGGCCAGCGGCGGACGGGUGAGUAACACGUGGGCAACCUGCCUUUGAGGCCGGGAUAACACCGGGAAACCGGUGCUAAUACCGGAUACGUCCUCUUUCGCGCCUGCGAGAGGGGAGAAAGACGGUCUUUAAGGCCGUCGCUCAAAGAGGGGCCCGCGGCGCAUUAGCUGGUUGGUGGGUAAGGGCCUACCAAGGCGACGAUGCGUGGCCGACCGGAGAGGGUGAUCGACCACACUGGGACUGAGACACGGCCCAGACUCCUGCGGGAGGCAGCAGUAGGGAAUCAUCCGCAAUGGGCGAAAGCCUGACGGUGCAACGCCGCGUGAGUGAGGAAGGUUUUCGGAUCGUAAAGCUCUGUUGUGAGGGAAGAACAGCUUCCGGAGGAAAUGCCGGAGGUUUGCCGGUACCUCACCAGAAAGCCCCGGCUAACUACGUGCCAGCCGCCGCCGUAA
rnacentral:rRNA from 1 species